rnacentral:rRNA from 1 species
GGACUGAGCGCUGAAUAUCAGAUAGUGUGUGAGGUAAAAGCUCCACCAGCGACGAUCCUGUAGCUGUUUGAAGAGACCGACCAGCCACCACUGGGACUGAAGACACGUCCAGACUCCUACGGGAGGCAGCAGUGGGGAAUUUUGGACAUUAUGGGCGCGAGCCUGAUCCAGCAAUGCCGCGUGCAGGAAGAAGGCCUUCGGGUUGUAAACUGCUUUUGGACGGAACGAAAAGGUCUGCUUUAAUAAAGCGGGCUCAUAGACGAGUACCGUAAGAAUAAGCACCGGCUAACUACGUGCCAGCAGCCGCGGUAAUACGUAGGGUGCGAGCGUUAAUCGGAAUUACUGGGCGUAAAGCGUGCGCAGGCGGUGAUGUAAGACAGUUGUGAAAUCCCCGGGCUCAACCUGGGAAUUGCAUCUGUGACUGCAUCGCUAGAGUACGGUAGAGGGGGAUGGAAUUCCGCGUGUAGCAGUGAAAUGCGUAGAUAUGCGGAGGAACACCGAUGGCGAAGGCAAUCCCCUGGACCUGUACUGACGCUCAUGCACGAAAGCGUGGGGAGCAAACAUGAUUAGAUACCCUGGUAGUCCACGCCCUAAACGAUGUCUACAAGUUGUUGGGUGCAUUAGUACUCAGUAACGAAGCUAACGCGUGAAGUUGACCGCCUGGAGACGCACGGCCGCAAGGUUGAAACUCAAAGGAAUUGACGGGGACCCGCACAAGCGGUGGAUGAUGUGGUUUAAUUCGAUGCAACGCGAAUAACCUUACCUACCUUUGACAUGUACGGAACUCGCCAGAGAUGGCUUGGUGCUCGAAAGAGAACCGUAACACAGGUGCUGCAUGGCUGUCGUCAGCU